UGGGGAAUUUUGGACAAUGGGCGCAAGCCUGAUCCAGCAAUGCCGCGUGCAGGAUGAAGGCCUUCGGGUUGUAAACUGCUUUUGUACGGAGCGAAAAGGUCUGCCCUAAUACGGUGGGCUCAUGACGGUACCGUAAGAAUAAGCACCGGCUAACUACGUGCCAGCAGCCGCGGUAAUACGUAGGGUGCGAGCGUUAAUCGGAAUUACUGGGCGUAAAGCGUGCGCAGGCGGUUAUAUAAGACAGAUGUGAAAUCCCCGGGCUCAACCUGGGACCUGCAUUUGUGACGGUAUAGCUAGAGUACGGUAGAGGGGGAUGGAAUUCCGCGUGUAGCAGUGAAAUGCGUAGAUAUGCGGAGGAACACCGAUAGCGAAGGCAAUCCCCUGGACCUGUACUGACGCUCAUACACGAAAGCGUGGGGAGCAAACA
rnacentral:rRNA from 1 species